rnacentral:rRNA from 1 species
UACGGAGGGUGCAAGCGUUAUCCGGAUUCACUGGGUUUAAAGGGUGCGUAGGCGGGCAGGUAAGUCCGUGGUGAAAUCUCUGAGCUUAACUCAGAAACUGCCAUGGAUACUAUUUGUCUUGAAUAUUGUGGAGGUAAGCGGAAUAUGUCAUGUAGCGGUGAAAUGCUUAGAUAUGACAUAGAACACCGAUUGCGAAGGCAGCUCGCUAAACUUAUAUUGACGCUGAGGCACGAAAGCGUGGGGAUCAAACAGG